rnacentral:misc_RNA from 2 species
AAGUCGUAACAAGGUUUCCGUAGGUGAACCUGCGGAAGGAUCAUUAGUGAAUCUAGGACGUCCAACUUAACUUGGAGUCCGAACUCUCACUUUCUAACCCUGUGCAUCUGUUUUAAAAUUGGCUAGUAGCUCUUCGGAGCGAACCACCAUUUUUCACUUAUACAAACACAAAGUCUAUGAAUGUAAACAAAUUUAUAACAAAACAAAACUUUCAACAACGGAUCUCUUGGCUCUC